rnacentral:rRNA from 1 species
UACGUAGGGGGCAAGCGUUGUCCGGAUUUACUGGGCGUAAAGAGCGCGCAGGCGGUCGUGCAAGUCGCGUGUGAAAGCCCCCGGCUCAACUGGGGAGGGUCACGCGAUACUGUUCGACUCGAAGGCAGGAGAGGGAAGCGGAAUUCCCGGUGUAGUGGUGAAAUGCGUAGAUAUCGGGAGGAACACCAGUGGCGAAGGCGGCUUCCUGGCCUGUUCUUGACGCUGAGGCGCGAAAGCUAGGGUAGCAAACGGG